AAUGUAUAGGUAUUAGCUCCAAGUGUCACUCUAUUAAAGUAAACCCACUCAGAACAGUGGUUAAUUUAGAUAGGAAUUACCUUACCUGUUUUUAAGUAUCUGCAUUAAGUGUCUCAUCUCCUGUAGUUUCUGGGGAAGGACAGGCAUUGCAGCAGAACAUUUAUGCUGGGCAAGUCCCUCUGCAGUCUUCUCACUUACCCACCCUGUUACUCACGAGGAAUCAAUUCUGAGUUAGGCAUGAAUCUCACCAUAGUAACUGUCAGAAAUGUAUUUCUUCAUUCAAAAAUUCCAGUGUAAAACCAGUACCUAGGCUCACAGGUGGUGGAUAGCUCUAGUUAACUAAUAGAUGUUAUCCAACGCUGGAGGUGAAUUAUUUAUUUCCAAGAGAAUAGAAAUGACCUGGUGCCACUGAGAGACAGACAGAGGAAAACAUUUUUCCAGUUUUAUCCAGAAGGAAGCAGCUGGGACAGCAUUGCAAGAAGUCUUCCUUGCAAAGUGUGCAAAGUUUUUGAUGAGUUGAGAAAUGAGAAUAACAGAGCUACUGAAACUCCAGAGCAUCAGAAAUCCAGUGCAUUAAUUUCAUAUGAAAUGAUGCUGUGCCUCUAACUCUUGAAGAGGUAGCCCUGAAGAAUCCAGUGCUGGAAGCUAAAUCAAGAGUUACAAAUUACACUGCUAAAGAAGAAAUCUCCCAAACUGGAAAAGUAUGUGGAAGCUAGAAAUGGUCUUUUAAAAUAUUCUCUAAAAGCUACAUCAGGUGACAAGCUGGGAGAAAAAAAUGCUGUUUACAACAGACAUGCAAGAUUUCAAAAGGGAUUAGUAGAGACACAUUUUGUUGAAGUCACCUAAAAUCAAGAACAAAGGUUGUAACAUUUUUAAAUGGUAUAUUUCUGCACUUAACUGCUAAUAAAAGUGGCUACUAAUUGUUAGGCCGAAGAGUUAUAUGGGAGGGACCAUUAACAUGUUGUUCUGUUUUUGAAGUAUCUGUCUGCAUUAACAUAGGGCAUUGUAGUGCAGAUUACAUUGAAAUGCUGACUACUCUGUGGUAAUAUUGCUAGGAGGAAAACAUUCAAUCCUACAGUAAAGGAUUAAUAUUAGCUAACUCAGAAAAGGGAAGUAUGUUCUUGAUAUUUUAUAUGUUCUUCCUCACAACUAAAGAUAUUUAUUUCCUGUGAACAUUUAGCAUUUCUGGUUUCCACAAGUUUUUAACCUAAACCAAAGCAGUUACUAACAGUAUAAGAGCUUUGACAUUAAAGCAGGCUUCUUCCUGAUAAAUCUCUUGUACCUCAGGAGAAGUAGAGAAGGAAACAUCACAGAUCUAAGCUUUAGUUUUACAAGCAACUCAGAUUGCCAAGGAUGAGGUUAGUUUUCUUUGCAGCAGUCAGCCUUGUCUAAGAGAAACCAGUACUUGUAAACUGCUAAAAAAACAUACAUUUGGAUCAAUGUGAUGAGAUCAAUCCAAGUCAGUACCAAGUCCUCUACCAUUACCACACUAGAUUUUCAGAUGUACAUUUUCAUAACUGGUUGUUUUUUUCCAAAAUGAAUUAAGUGGCAAAAAAAAAAAAAAAAGGGAAAAAAAAAAAAGAGUAAAUUUUAUUUGACACAACCAAGAAAAAAAGAAGCUUAUUUCUUUGCAUACGUUAAUCAGUCCUCUCUGUGUAUCUAUGUUAUCCCUUCGUGGCUGCAGACUGGGAGUGGAUAUGAGUACUGAAUUUCUUCUAAGCUGAAAGGUACGCCACUUCCAUCUUCUCCCCAUCCCCUUUGUUCUUCCCUCUGAACAAAGGAGUUUCUCCUACCAGGCUUUCCCUCUCUUUGCUCUCCUUUCCCUCGCUGCCCGUGCCCCUUCCCCCACCUUCUUGCCCUUCUCCUGCCUGUGCUGGCUGCCUUCCCACCCUCCCUGCCAGCAGGCCUGCCUCUUUGUUCCCACAGCACUCCGGAGCUGUGCAGCCAGAGCCCAGCUCUCUUUUUCUCAUGGGGGAACUUGGGUGGCUUGAAGCCCCGCUGACAGCAGACAAGGUGGCAGAGGAAAGA